rnacentral:rRNA from 1 species
GACGAACGCUGGCGGCGUGCUUAACACAUGCAAGUCGAACGGAAAGGCCCCUUCGGGGGUACUCGAGUGGCGAACGGGUGAGUAACACGUGAGUAACCUGCCCUUGACUUCGGGAUAACUUCAGGAAACUGGGGCUAAUACGCGAUAGGAAUCCUUGCUGCAUGGUGGGGGUUGGAAAGCUUCGGCGGUUUUGGAUGGACUCGCGGCUUAUCAGCUUGUUGGUGGGGUAGUGGCUUACCAAGGCUUUGACGGGUAGCCGGCCUGAGAGGGCGACCGGCCACAUUGGGACUGGGAUACGGCCCAGACUCCUACGGGAGGCAGAAGUGGGGAAUAUUGCACAAUGGGCGGAAGCCUGAUGCAGCAACGCCGCGUGCGGGAUGACGGACUUCGGGUUGUAAACCGCUUUCAGCAGGGGCGAAGCUUGUGGUGACGGUACCUGCAGAAGAAGCACCGGCUAACUACGUG